GCUCCUUUCCAGAGGAAGCAUCUAGAACGCAGGCCCAGGUUCUGGCUACCCCAGGGUUUGUGAUGUGUAAACAGCUUUGUUGUCCAUCCAGUCGCGUCUGUGAGUUUCAUGCGUCCCAAGUUCUGGAGGCUGGAAGUCUGUGAUCAAAGUGUCAUCAGGUUGAUUUCCGCCGAGGCCUCUCUCUGGCUUGCAGAUGCUACCCUCUCGCUGUGUCCUCGCAUGGUCGUUUCCAUGUGCGUGUGCUCAUAAAAGAUCGGCCUGGAGUGAGCCAACAACCAUAGCUAGUAUCUUCAUAGAUGUUGCCAGUGUUUGUCUGCCAGACAACUUGGUGUAGAGAAUCCCCAUGUUGAGAGCAGGGACGGUGUACCACCUUCAGACGUCUGACAGCUGUGCACAGACGUCCACUAGGUGUUUGCUGAGAGCCCAUCUGAAUACUGCCUUUUUAAGGCCUCAUAACUCCUUAGUAGCCCAGCCAGGUCCGGGUAUGUUUCCAUGAGGCCAUUCUCAUCUCCUGAAAUAGAGAGAGUGGAACAGUAAGUAUGGAAAACGUCUCUCUUUUUAAACACGGAGUGGAUGAUUGGAAACAAUGACUUAUUCAGUAAUCUAAGCAGAGUCUGUUGUCCAUGAAUCAUACCGCAUACAAAAAGGUGAGGGAAAUGUUCAGUUUGCCAUUUCUCCCUGGCCAGGGAGGAGAGCAUGGGGUGAAUCGAGGUUUUCGUGCUGACUGUCCUGGGAAGCUAACUUGGGAAGCCACAGGUGAAAACAGAGUGGGAAGUGCAUCCUCAACAGGAACGCAAUGGUCCUAAGCUCUGAGAGGCCCCAGACGCCCCUCCGCUGCUUACACGGGGGCAAAGGUCUGCAGAAGAGCUCUUGCAUGUCCCCCCCGAGAAGUUACCCAUGGAUUGGGGAAAAGACACGCGACUUCUUGGAGGGGGCGGGGAGGUAACCGGCUGCCUGAAAAGAGGAACACAAUUGCAUGCACUCGCUCCUGUGAAAGAAAUUCAUUUAAGAGCAAUUGGAUUAGAGAUGGAGAUUUACAUGGAUGAAUUUAAGGAAGAGGAUCGGGUAAGACAGUAAGGAUGUACCUCACUCAUUUGCUACAAAACUAUAAAAAGCAUUGGGGACUUACAGUGCUAAGUGGAAAAUGGGCCACUAAAUUGUAAUUAAACUAUGAUUGCAAUUAUGUAAAGUAAGUUUGCUAUGGACAAAGGCUGACCGGGGAUACAGAGAAAUUAACACAGUUAUUGUGCUAAUGUAGUGAUGUUAUUUCUUUCCCAUUGUUUGAAUUGUGUGGGUGUGAAUGUGAGGGCAGGGGUGGGGAGAGGCUAUAUAUAGAGUCCAACAGAAAGAGUUACACAGGGAAUUAGGAAGCCCGUGGUUAAGUUUCACAAGGCAUGCCAGCUGUGAACUUAACCUCCCUGAGCGUCAGUGUCCUUAUACAGAGAGUGGGAAUCAGCACCUGCCCUGCACCAUGGGGUAGUGAAAACACUUUGUAAAUCGAAAGUAUUGUAAGAGACUGUGAAAAGUCAAGACCAGAGUUCUGUGUAGAACAGAGACUUAAAAAUCCAGAACUCAAAAGUCACCUGAAUCUCUUCCCAGCAGUCACUGUGGGAGCUGGACAGCAUGUGCCAUCUCAUUUAAUUGCACAAUGUAGAAUUUACACUCACUUAUUGGGCACCUACUACUUGCUUUACCAACCAGGUUUCCCAAUACUAUUUGUAGAAUAAUCCAUUUAUCGAAAUAAUUGGAAACGCUUCCUUUA